GAUGAACGCUGGCGGCGUGCCUAAUACAUGCAAGUCGAGCGAACAGACGAGGAGCUUGCUCCUCUGACGUUAGCGGCGGACGGGUGAGUAAUACGUGGAUAACCUACCUAUAAGACUGGGAUAACUUCGGGAAACCGGAGCUAAUACCGGAUAAUAUAUUGAACCGCAUGGUUCAAUAGUGAAAGACGGUUUUGCUGUCACUUAUAGAUGGAUCCGCGCCGCAUUAGCUAGUUGGUAAGGUAACGGCUUACCAAGGCAACGAUGCGUAGCCGACCUGAGAGGGUGAUCGGCCACACUGGAACUGAGACACGGUCCAGACUCCUACGGGAGGCGGCAGUAGGGAAUCUUCCGCAAUGGGCGAAAGCCUGACGGAGCAACGCCGCGUGAGUGAUGAAGGUCUUCGGAUCGUAAAACUCUGUUAUUAGGGAAGAACAAAUGUGUAAGUAACUAUGCACGUCUUGACGGUACCUAAUCAGAAAGCCACGGCUAACUACGUG
rnacentral:rRNA from 1 species